GAAAAGAAAUGGAAAACAGCAGCUGAGUCACAGGGAGGUGGGGCUGGACCCAGGCCACCGGCAUAUCAGGUGGGCUGGAUUGUCUCUUCACUGUUCUGUUGAGCUUGUCCUUCCCCCCGCUUCUGUUAAAGGGCAGAUAAUUUUAGACAAUUCUUUCCUCAAGGCUUUUGGCAAGAUGAGAUGAUGUAAAAAAUUGAACAGGGCUUAGCACACGUAUCGUAAGCACUCACUGCAAAAUAGCUGUUAUUAUCUUGUUUGUUCUCUCCCACCCUCCAUACUUUUGGUCUCUCUCUCUCUCUCUCUGUCUCUCUUUUCUUUCUCUCUUGCCUCCACUUUCUCCAUCGGUGAAAAGGUGAAUGGUAGCACCAUUAAACAUCUCUACUGUGAGGAAAGGAGAACUUUCCUGUUGGGAGUGAGGGGAUGGCUAGUGGAAAAUAGGGAUCAUCUUGAUCGCACGUUUUGAGCAGCCAAGCCAAAGCAGGGUGGACUUACUCCCCCCCUCCCCUCCAGAUCCUUGAAAACCAGUUCCACCACUUACUAGCUGUCUGACUCUGGGCAAAGGCUUGAACUUUCCUGAGCCUGUUUCCUUACUGGUAAUAUGGGGAUGAUCCUGUGCGCGGCACGCUGCGGCUGGGUUAGUUAAUCGGCAAACUCUAUGUCACAGGCCCAGCCAGAUGCACGUGGCAAAUGCUCAGGAUAUGUAGCUACUUCAGCUAAGAUGACGAAGCUCUCCUGGUCAGGCCAACAACCUAGGACUCUUCCUUGACUUUUCUUCCUCUCACACCUUUGAGGUUGGGCUCCCCUGGAAGCAGACCACGAGGCUCCCAGGCAGGAUUGGGAGGACGGUCCCCUGCCGUUGUGAGAGCCCUUCUUCUUUGGGUCUCCCUGUGUCAACGUCAAGAAAAACACACAGUGUUAAGUGUUGCGAGUCUGGGCUUCUCUGGUGUCGCAGUGGUUAAGAAUCCGCCUGCCAAUGCAGGGGACACGGGUUCGAGCCCUGGUCUGGGAAGAUCCCACAUGCCACGGAGCAACUAAGCCCGUGCGCCACAACUACUGAGCCUGUGCUCUAAAGCCCACGAGCCACAACUGCUGAGCCCGUGUGCCACAACUACUGAAGCCUGCGUGCCUACAGCCCGUGCUCUGCAACAAGAGAAGCCACCACAAUGAGAAGCCCCAAGGACGGCAAUGAAGAGCAGCCCCCUCUCGCCGCAACUAGAGAAAGCCCGCGCACAGCAACAGACCCAAUGCAGCCAAAAAUAAAAAUAAAUAAAUAAGUAAAUCUUUUUAAAAAAUUAAAAAUAUAAAUAAUCAAAUAAAAUAACUUAAAAGAAAAAGACCCAA